rnacentral:rRNA from 1 species
UUCUUACUAAUUUAUUGUAAGUAUUACCUGCUCAAUGAUUUAUUUAAAUAGCCGCGGAAAUAUAACUGUGCUAAGGUAGCAUAAUCAUUAGUCCUUUAAUUAAGGACUUGCAUGAAAGGUAAAACAUUUCAAUUUCUAUCUAGUUUAAUUUAAAUUUAAUUUAAAUUAAGAAUCAAAAUGUUCUUAUCACAAAAAUAGACGACAAGACCCUUUUGAACUUUACUAUUGUUUAGCUGGGGCAGCUAAAAAAUAAUAAUCUUUUUUAUUCAUAUUAAAUAAAAGACCCAAUAAAAUUGAUUAUUUGAACAAGUUACCAUAGGGAUAACAGCGUAAUAUCUUUCUAAAGCUCUUAUUUAAAAAGAAGAUUGCGACCUCGAUGUUGAAUAAUGUUUCUUGAUUGGUGCAGUAACCUUAAAAGUAGGUCUGUUCGACCUAUAAAACAUUACA